rnacentral:rRNA from 1 species
AACGAACGCUGGCAGCGUGGAUUAGGCAUGCAAGUCGAACGGGAUCCGGAAGGUAGCAAUACCGGCCGGUGAGAGUGGCGGAAGGGCGAGGAGCACGUGGACAACCUGUCCCGUGGGUGGGGAUACCGUCCCGAAAGGGGCGUUAAUACCGAAUGGGGCCCCGGACCGCAUGGUCCGGCGGCCAAAGGCGGGGACCGCAAGGCCCGCCCCCCCGGGAGGGGUCCGCGCACCAUCAGCUAGACGGCGGGGUAACGGCCCACCGUGGCUUACGGUUAGCUGGUCUGAGAGGAAGACCGGCCGAACUGGGACUGAGACACUGCCCAGACUCCUACGGGAGGCUGCAGUCGAGGAUCAUUCGCAAUGGGCGAAAGCCUGACGAUGCGACGCUGCGUGGAGGAUGAAGGCCCUCGGGUCGUAAACUCCUGUCAUGGGGGGCGAGGCGGAGGCGGUUAACGGCCGCCCGAGUUGACGGUACCCCAAGAGGAAGCCACGGCUAACUCUGUG